UCAAACUUGGUCAUUUAGAGGAAGUAAAAGUCGUAACAAGGUAACCGUAGGUGAACCUGCGGUUGGAUCAUUAACAAAUUGAUCAAGGCAUCAGGCUUCACAGCCGUGCCUGCGUUUCUCUCGUGCAAGCGAGUCAGAAACACACACCCAAUUGUGAACCGUUUUCUGUCUCUGGCGGUGGGGUUUGACGAGAAAAGCAUCUUGUUUGCUUCUCUCGCGAGCCUGUCAGCAACGAUCAUACACAUGAGCGCUGCCGUGGACAAGCCGCCAACCAUUUCUUCAAUAACGCAUUGUCUGAUUUUGUUUGUCUUACCUGUUUUGUUUUGUAUAAAUGUACAAAAAACAACUUUUGGCAACGGAUCUCUUGGCUCUCGCAUCGAUGAAGAACGCAGC
rnacentral:misc_RNA from 1 species